rnacentral:rRNA from 1 species
GGGUCCGGACACACUGAGGAUUGACAGGCAAUAUUAAUACGUGUUUCGGCGCGUAUUAUGUUAAAUAUGCUAGUCCUUUCAUGAUUAUGUGAUAGGUGGUGCAUGGCCGUUCUUAGUUCGUGGAGUGAUCUGUCUGCUUAAUUGCGUUUCACUAAGAAUCUAUCAAUACGUGCGUUGCGGCACUUUGACCCCUCCCUGAGCGCGCGUCUUAGUUGCUUAGCUCGCACAAUUAGGUUCUGAAAGCAACGAACGUGACCGCAACCUCUUGUUGCCUUUAUACCAAACACGUUUACUGCUUUUGCAGUAUUCGUGCAAAAAGGCUUUUUAAACUAGAGGGACCGCUGUUACUUUCUUAAACCAGAGGAAGGUUGCGGCAAUAACAGGUCUGUGAUGCCCUUAGAUGUUCCGGGCUGCACACGUGCUACAAUGAUUGUUGCAGUGAGCAUCUCAUUUUUACACACCGCAUGCGCGAGUCCAUUUAUUCACUUCGGUGCUUUAAAUGUGUAUUUCUGCGCGCGGUAAAGCCUGCUUCGAGAGUAAGUGGGU